AGUGAACGCUGGCGGUAGGCCUAACACAUGCAAGUCGAACGGCAGCACAGUAAGAGCUUGCUCUUACGGGUGGCGAGUGGCGGACGGGUGAGGAAUACAUCGGAAUCUACUUUUUCGUGGGGGAUAACGUAGGGAAACUUACGCUAAUACCGCAUACGACCUACGGUUAAAAGCAGGGGAUCUUCGGACCUUGCGCGAUUGAAUGAGCCGAUGUCGGAUUAGCUAGUUGGCGGGGUAAAGGCCCACCAAGGCGACGAUCCGUAGCUGGUCUGAGAGGAUGGUCAGCCACACUGGAACUGAGACACGGUCCAGACUACUAAGGGAGGCAGCAGUGGGGAAUAUUGGACAAUGGGCGCAAGCCUGAUCCAGCCAUACCGCGUGGGUGAAGAAGGCCUUCGGGUUGUAAAGCCCUUUUGUUGGGAAAGAAAAGCAGCAGGUUAAUACCCCGCUGUUCUGACGGUACCAAAAGAAUAAGCACCGGCUAACUUCGUG
rnacentral:rRNA from 1 species